GGGGAGAGUGCAGGCGCUGAGGGGAGCGGUGGAUGCAUUCCCUUCUCUGUGCUUUCGUAGGGCGUUGGUAUCGGUGAGACCUGUCUGCGAGUGCUCAGGGGUCCCUCUAGGCACCCGAGAGCGGCAGCUACCCCUUUACAGGGCCGCUUUGUUCAUACCCGAGUCCUUUGUCCCGGCGAUGGUCGGUCCGGCGCAGCCCAGUGUGAGGGCGGCCGGGGUUCGUGUGUGCAGCUGGUGCAUCUCGUUAGGAGGCGAGCGUAACCGCGAGUGCCACAAUUACCCGUGGUUUCCUAGCUUCUGAAGCUCGCUGUGAUCGCUCGUGUGAAGCCAGGUUUGUCUGCACACGGGCAGGCACGUUGAGGAUUCAGUUCCCGGUCUUUUUUUCUUCAGAGAUGUGCUGCCACCCGCAGUUCCUGCCCUCACCUUCCCUGCCGGCUGUACGUUCCCACCUCACAGCUCUGCCAGUGCAGCUGUUUUCAUGGAAAACCACUGGAAAACGUCUGGAUAACGGCAUAGAGAAUUCUAUUCCAGCUCUGCUCAAUUCUGUGGGAGGCUGCAGUUUGCUAAAUAUAUUAGGAAACACCAGGUGUUUGACUUCUUAUCUGAUGGUUUAACAAAUGAGCAUCCUUCCUUCGCUGAUCCUGUUCUCUCUCCAGAUGGACUGUAGGUAGGAGCCAGUCAUGAUCUAUUUGGAACCCAGAGGCUCAGUUUCCCUGGUGACACAUGGAGUUUGCAAGCUAGCUGCAGAAAUAGCACACUUCUGUGCCCAGGUUUUUCAUAGAUUUGAAAAGCUGGAGAUUUUUGUCGAGAGCCCAGGCUGCUAGGAGAAUUCAAUCCCAGCAGCAGGAAAGUAUGGCCUUUCUGUGUAGUGUUUCACAGACUUCAAAUAAACAAGCCAGAUGGUAAAAGUGCAAUGGUAAAAGUAAUCAUUUUUAGACUCCUGCCAGACCAUUGUUUAAAAAAAAAAGAAAAGCUGCCUU